GCACCCGAACCGGGUGCUCAGAGGUGUGCUAAUACAUACGUUGACAGGUAGGUAGGAAAGCAUAUAAAAACGCUUGGACCGAGAUUUUUGAUUGGAGGAACAUU